AUUGAACGCUGGCGGCAGGCCUAACACAUGCAAGUCGAGCGGUAGCACAGAGAGCUUGCUCUCGGGUGACGAGCGGCGGACGGGUGAGUAAUGUCUGGGAAACUGCCUGAUGGAGGGGGAUAACUACUGGAAACGGUAGCUAAUACCGCAUAACGUCGCAAGACCAAAGUGGGGGACCUUCGGGCCUCAUGCCAUCAGAUGUGCCCAGAUGGGAUUAGCUAGUAGGUGGGGUAACGGCUCACCUAGGCGACGAUCCCUAGCUGGUCUGAGAGGAUGACCAGCCACACUGGAACUGAGACACGGUCCAGACUCCUACGGGAGGCAGCAGUGGGGAAUAUUGCACAAUGGGCGCAAGCCUGAUGCAGCCAUGCCGCGUGUGUGAAGAAGGCCUUCGGGUUGUAAAGCACUUUCAGCGGGGAGGAAGGCGUUAAGGUUAAUAACCUUGGCGAUUGACGUUACCCGCAGAAGAAGCACCGGCUAACUCCGUGCCAGCAGCCGCGGUAAUACGGAGGGUGCAAGCGUUAAUCGGAAUUACUGGGCGUAAAGCGCACGCAGGCGGUCUGUCAAGUCGGAUGUGAAAUCCCCGGGCUCAACCUGGGAACUGCAUUCGAAACUGGCAGGCUAGAGUCUUGUAGAGGGGGGUAGAAUUCCAGGUGUAGCGGUGAAAUGCGUAGAGAUCUGGAGGAAUACCGGUGGCGAAGGCGGCCCCCUGGACAAAGACUGACGCUCAGGUGCGAAAGCGUGGGGAGCAAACAGGAUUAGAUACCCUGGUAGUCCACGCCGUAAACGAUGUCGAUUUGGAGGUUGUGCCCUUGAGGCGUGGCUUCCGGAGCUAACGCGUUAAAUCGACCGCCUGGGGAGUACGGCCGCAAGGUUAAAACUCAAAUGAAUUGACGGGGGCCCGCACAAGCGGUGGAGCAUGUGGUUUAAUUCGAUGCAACGCGAAGAACCUUACCUGGUCUUGACAUCCACAGAACUUAGCAGAGAUGCUUUGGUGCCUUCGGGAACUGUGAGACAGGUGCUGCAUGGCUGUCGUCAGCUCGUGUUGUGAAAUGUUGGGUUAAGUCCCGCAACGAGCGCAACCCUUAUCCUUUGUUGCCAGCGGUCCGGCCGGGAACUCAAAGGAGACUGCCAGUGAUAAACUGGAGGAAGGUGGGGAUGACGUCAAGUCAUCAUGGCCCUUACGACCAGGGCUACACACGUGCUACAAUGGCAUAUACAAAGAGAAGCGACCUCGCGAGAGCAAGCGGACCUCAUAAAGUAUGUCGUAGUCCGGAUUGGAGUCUGCAACUCGACUCCAUGAAGUCGGAACCGCUAGUAAUCGUAGAUCAGAAUGCUACGGUGAAUACGUUCCCGGGCCU
rnacentral:rRNA from 1 species